ACUGGGCAUGGUGGUGCAUGCCUUUAAACCCAGCUACUUGGGAGGCUGAGGCAGGAGGAUCAUAAGUUCAGGCCAGUUUCAGCAACUUACUGAGACCUUGUCUCAA
rnacentral:sRNA from 1 species